UCGGGAAUUUUGGGCAAUGGGCGAAAGCCUGACCCAGCAACGCCGCGUGAAGGAUGAAGUAUUUCGGUAUGUAAACUUCGUAAGAAUAGGAAGAAUAAAUGACGGUACUAUUUGUAAGGUCCGGCUAACUACGUGCCAGCAGCCGCGGUAAUACGUAGGGACCAAGCGUUGUUCGGAUUUACUGGGCGUAAAGGGCGCGUAGGCGGCGUGGUAAGUCAUCUGUGAAAUCUCCGAGCUUAACUCGGAACGGUCAGAUGAUACUGCUGUGCUAGAGUACAGAAAGGGCAAUCGGAAUUCUUGGUGUAGCGGUGAAAUGCGUAGAUAUCAAGAGGAACACCUGAGGUGAAGACGGGUUGCUGGGCUGACACUGACGCUGAGGCGCGAAAGCCAGGGGAGCAAACGGGAUUAGAUACCCACGUAGUCCCUGAGCGGGCUGGCAAGGCGCAU
rnacentral:rRNA from 1 species